CGGGUGAGUAACACAUUGGUAACCUACCCCUGAUUCAUGAAUAACCCGGAGAAAUCUGGAAUAAUUCACGAUAGUCUCCAACCACACAUGUGUGUUGGAGUAAAGAUUUAUCGAUCAGGGAGGGGCCUAUGGCCUAUCAGCUUGUUGGUAGUGUAAAAGACUACCAAGGCUACGACGGGUAGCGGGUGUGAGAGCAUGACCCGCCUCACGGGGACUGAGACACUGCCCUG
rnacentral:rRNA from 1 species